rnacentral:rRNA from 1 species
GAGUUAAGAGUUAUUAGCAUUAGAAGAAACACCGAAGGUGUUUCGCCAAUACUGACAACUGAAAACUGAUAACUGCUAAGCAAAGCGCUGUGUGCUUUGCACAUCCUAGCGGCGGACGGGUGAGUAACGCGUGAGCAACCUGCCUUUCAGUGGGGGAUAACGUCUCGAAAGGGACGCUAAUACCGCAUGAUAUAGCGAUAUCACAUGGUAACGCUAUCAAAGAUUUAUCGCUGAAAGAUGGGCUCGCGUCUGAUUAGCUGGUUGGUGAGGUAACGGCUCACCAAGGCGACGAUCAGUAGCCGAACUGAGAGGUUGAUCGGCCACAUUGGGACUGAGACACGGCCCAGACUCCUACGGGAGGCAGCAGUGGGGGAUAUUGCGCAAUGGGGGAAACCCUGACGCAGCAACGCCGCGUGAAGGAAGAAGGCCUUCGGGUUGUAAACUUUUGUCUUUGGGGACGAUAAUGACGGUACCCGAGGAGGAAGCCACGGCUAACUACGUG